AAAAAAAAAAAAGCGACUGUGCUGCCUAAUGUAAAACUCCCAAAUUCUGGGGUUGGAUACAGAUAAAGACUCAUUUAUUCAUUAAUUAAGUCAUCCAUUAUUUAUUCAUUCCGUAUGUAUUACAGUCCCACUGCGUACCAGGCUUAGCGAUGGCAAAAAUAGAUGUGGUUUCUGCAAUUCUAGAACUUGGACUAUAGUAGGGAGAAACACGUAAUCAAAUAAUUAGGCAAAUAACUGUAAAAUUUCAAACUCAUAGGUGUGAAGGAACGGUACAAGAUGUUAUAAGAUUAUAAGGACAUUUAAAGAAGUUCAGUCCUAACUGAGGGGCGGUUCCUGAGGAAGUGACUUCGAGCUGGGACUGCAAACCCCCAGACCGUGAGUUGGGGACUGUUUCCAGACUCCUCCUCUGCAACACAGGCUAGUGGAUUGUCCUAAAAUCUUAGUGAGAUGGCAUGAAGAGUUCAACCCAGCACUUAGUACUUAAUUAAUGAUGCAAUUGGUUGGCUUUGUUAUUUUAAUUUUUCUCGGUGCUCUUUGGCCAGUAUGCAGUUACAGAACAGGAUAAAAGAAACAAAGAUUUAUAAAAAUAGCAAUCAGAAACGCAGAAAGGAUAGGGGAGAAAAGGAAAUAUUUUGAAAAUCCUAUGGAUUUUAAUUUUUUUAAUUAGAAUGUUUCAGUAAGAUGCGCAGGCUGUGGUGGAAAACCAAUGGGAAAUAAAUGCAGACAGGAAACGCAGUGCUUUGUUGAUGUUUUUCUGGCACCUCCAGAAUUUUGUCCUAACAUGUUUUCCUGUGUUUUUACGUAUUUCUUCCAGCAUGAGUCCUGGAUUGAUUGAUGGCGAUGCUCUUUUACCCAGAGCUUAAUCCUGCAGCACACCGGGGGUGGGGUGAGCCUGACCGACUUGGUGAGUGAGGGGCAGAGGGAGUGGGUUGAAGAACCUGGAAGUUUUAAUGAGGAAAGAUGGGCCAAAGCUCCCGUUUGGAUCACAGAGCAUCCAGGCUGAUUGCUCUCUGCUUCAGCCUAGCAAGGAAAAGAAGGAAAGCGAUUGUAAAUUCAGCCGAUAGAAACGUAAUUACUCCUUCCUGAAAUGUGAGGGGUCCCCCUGCCUCGGGGGAUGGGUUAAGUAAAGCCACAUUUUUUCAGAGAGGAAAUUUGCCCACGGCCCCUCGGGGAGAGCACUUCAAAGGUUCCCAGGACACUUCAAAAGGCCAGGAGCCUCUUCCACCGCUAGUUUUAAAGUGCUGGAGGUAUGCGCCCUGGAAAUGCGUGAGCACACAGCCCAGCGGGGCGGGGGGGGGGGGGGGUGCUGUGGAGCACAUUCCUGUCUGAGAUCCGACUACCACUCUGCCUUCGUUCUGGAGGGAAUCUUCCGGCCUGGAGGGGUGGUAGGGAGUGUCCUGCAGGAGCCAUGGGGCCACCAAGCCAAGUGUGGACUUCAGCUGUCACCUCAUUUUUUUUUUUCGGUCUUUUUAGGGCUGCACCUGCUGCAUAUGGAGGGUUCCAGGAUAGGGGUCCAAUCUGAGCCACAGCUGCGGGCCCACACUGCAGGCACAGCAAGACCAGAUCUGAGCCGUGAGCCGCAUCUGCAACCCACACCACAGCUCAUGGUAAUGCCAGAUCCUUAACUUGAUGAGCGAGGCCUGGGAUUGAACCUGCCUCGUCAUGGAUACUACGUCAGAUUCAUUUCCACUGAGCCACGUGGGGAACUCCCUAACCCAGGCCUUUUUCUCCCCAGGGAGCUCAGUCCCAGCAGCAGCAUCAUUCAGGGGCUUGGUUGACUCAGACACCAUGGGCGGAGGUUCUCCGUCCUUGAUUCCCGCAUUCCUGGGCACCUGUCACCCCAGAGCAUCCAUCAGUAAGAUAUCGGCUUUUCCUGAAGUAGGCCCAAAACAACUAUGUGCCUCGAUUCCUCUCUUCUGUUCCUCCUGAGGAAAAUGUUAAAGUAUUAAAGGGAGCUAGGUUACAGCAGAGCUACAGGACGUUAAGUGUAGACAGCCCCCAAAGCCAUCGUUAACCAAUGAACGGAAUUUCCAUCUUGUUCCCUUUAAGUGCGAUAGUGUUUUUCUCAUCAACCAGGGUAAAUGUCAGAGGUGUCUCAUGUUUCCAGGGUGAGUUGAGAUACCCAUCCUUUCACUUAAAAAGUAGGCUUUGUAGCAGUUCCCAUUGUAGCUCAGUGCAAACGAACCUGACUAGGAUCCAUGAGGACGUGGGUUCAAUCCCUGGCCUCUCUCGCUGGGUUAAGGAUGCUAUGCAGCUGCGGCCGUGGUGUAGGCCGGCAGCUGCAGCUCCGACUGGACCUCCAGCCUGGGAACUUCUAUAUGCCGCAAGUGCAACCCUUUAAAAAAAAAAAAAAAAAAAAGCAAGUUUGGUAACGUGUGCCGUGCAUGUCCCCCUUGUAACUGGACCGCUGCAUCUGAGUAUUUCUGCCCCCUCCUCAUCCAAGUACAUAAACAGACACAGGAGGAUGGGGUAGGGGGAUAAAGACAGUAAAGAGACAGGAGGAGAGCUCUACAGGCGUGAGGCGGUCAUGAGCAGAAUCACCAUAGCAAACGCAGAACCAGGAGAGCUUUCCGAGGCAACACGGCCUUCAGGCCUCUUGCUCCGGAGCCCCCUCCCCACGCGCGCACGGAGAGCCAGGCGCCGGCUCAGUCACACGGGGGAGGGGGGGGAUGCAGAUGCCUCAUGGGGGAUGCAGAUGCCUCCUUGUCAAACCGCACAGCGAAGAGGAAGCCGCUUCCUCCCGUGCAUGUCAAGCCUGCGUUUUACAGCACACGUCCGUGGACAGGGGCUCGCCGUGCCAUCUGCUGCGCCCAGCAAGCGGCAGGGGGACGUCAUCGCCGAGGGAAGUGGGGGACGCAGGGAAAACCCCAGGUGUCUCCCGAGGACCAGGGACCGGGUUCCCGCCGCCCGCUCAGGCCGGGGCGGAACGAGCCGUCGGGGGUCAAAAGCAGAGGCCCAGCCACGGCGCGCGGACGCUUCCCGUCUUCAUUCAGAACGAGGCAACGAGGGCUUGAUUAUUUUUUGACCUGUGACAUUGCAUCUGGUGUCUCGCUCUAGAAAUGAGGCAAAUAAAAUAUCUUGAAAUGACUUCGUUCUAUAAAAAAGGACCCUCCCCCAUGCUGUUCGCUGUCACCUUCUUUUUUCCUCCGCUUCCGUCUCUGCAGCUUGACAUCCUCUCAAACGCUACCUGACAGACUGCGGCAAUCACCCCGCGAAUGGAAGUAAUUUCCUUAUUGACAGCCUCCCGUUCUCCCUGACAUCUGCCAGCACUCCCUGACACUUGAAUAAGCAUUAAGACAUUAACAGUCUGGCACAGGCUUAGGGGCUGGAAGAGCAAUGCUUGGCAGGCCCGCUGAACAAAGCCCCGAGCGAGAGACCCCACGCCUUCAAUCCGCAGUCCCCCUGGCUGGAAACCCGGGCAGAGCCCAGAGUAAAUGCCGAUUAUUCGCUCCACUGCUCUGGCAUUUUGGUGUCUCCUUCCACAGGCCAGAUCAUAUGCUCGAGGAAAGGGACAGAAAAACAGGGACAAGGCUGUUUCGGAGACAGCAGGAGUGAAAAGCGGGUGUGCAUGAAAAGGCAGCUCUCCGCUGCUCCCUGGGAUGAGUCAAUGUUUUUAAGGAAUCGACUUAGAAGGAGAAGCAAAGUCAGGCUCCCCCGACUGACGCGUCGAACAAUGCGAAUCACGCUUUCUUCUGAUCGUAUCACAUUCUUCCCAGAGACUAGCUGGCAGAUGCCAUCUUGGCGCUGUGGGUUUUUCAGAAGCCAAUUUGUCAGAUCUUCAUACAGAAAAUUAUUAGGAAAGAACACUACGGUAGACGUUGUUGCCAGAAUCUGCUCACUAAGAAAUGGCAAAGCUUAAUAUUAAUUAAACUGCUAAGGAAGUCAGAGAGCGGCUUCCAUUCGUUCUUGAGUAGGGCUCGUUUGGAUCAGAAAGCUGUAAUCUGCACAGGUAAUGCUAAAAUUAACCUCAAACUAGAAGGGGGAGAGCUGUGAAUGUGACACUUUCACUUGAGCGAAAAAUGACUCAAUAUAGCUGCACUUGGGAGACAGAAGAAGAGUUGAAACGGGUUGUAUGUGAGUUCAAGGGAGUCUGACCCAAGGGUGGGGCGACCUGCUUCCCUAGGGAGCAUUCUGUGGCUCCAGACUCUGACAUCUUCCAGGGACCAAGGGCCCAGAAGUCCCCCACUCCUGCAGUGGCCACCGCAGGACAGAAACGUUGCAGGAAGAGUUGUUGCUGCGUUUACAUCGCGAUUCCGUCUGCAAACCACCUUACUUUCUUCGUUGUUUGAUCUGAGCCUGGGGUCACCAUCUGAUUUGCAAAUGAGGGGAAGAGACAGGCCGAAGGAGGAUGAGGGCCUUUCCCCAGUCACACAGGUAGUGAAUGGUGAAGGCCCGAACUCCACGUGGGUCUGGACUACCUGGGUGGGUAGAUUUCCACGGCAUCCACCCCUGGCCUCAGGGAUCUUGGUCAAAAACACAGAAAGGGACGGUGAAGUUGGAAGGGCAGCAACCACCUUCCCCGAAAGAGCUGUCUGUCUGCGAUGGUGAGAAGGUAGCUGAGUGGAACCACAGAACCUGCUCCGGUCCCCACAAGGUGCUGUUCAAACGGGCAGGGUGGUUCCUUUCGUAGGUGCAGCAGGGAAUCAGGACCAGCCUCAUGGGGAGUGUGGGGGCGUCUGAGGGCGGGUGGGCAGGGGAGGUCUUGUUUUUAAACUAAAUGCAGCUCCAUCGCUGGCUCUGCCGCUCGAAACUUUGAAUGUUCGAGGGUGGGGGCCCUGAGUUCAACCUCUGUCUCUCAUCAGCGGUGCAGGUUGGGCUGAGUUAAGAAACAAGAAUCUGAUUCUUCAUUGUAAAAUAGUGAUGCCAGCCGUAUCUUCCUUACAGGCUUUACCAGGAGAACCAACUGAGUUAAAGCUUGUCAAAAAAUAGCGCAGUAGACGCUCACAAAACAGACAUGAGUCCGUGGUUCUUUGAUGAGUGUAUCAUGUAAGGCGCCCACCUUUCAAAUUGUCCACUUAACACCUCUCUUGGGAUGUGGUGCAGUUAAUUCAAAUGCACACCCCACACCAGUUCAUCUUCCAUGUAACCACAAUAAUCACAACAAAAGCGAGUGAGAGGCGUUCCUGUUGCGGCUCAGUGGGUUAAGGACCCGGUGUUGUCUCUGGGGGGAUGUGGCUUCCAUCCCUGGCCUCCCUCAGUAGGUUAGGGAUCCAGCGUUGCCACAAGCUGCCGUGUAGGUUGCCGAUGCAGCUUGGAACUGGUGUUGCCCGCAGAGGCAGCUCCAAGUUGACUUCUAGCCCAGGAACUUCCACGUGAUGCAAGUGGGGCCAUAAAAAGAAAAAAAAAAAAAAUCAAUGGGCGCUUAGUCCAUAUUCCGUGCAUUUUGUUUAUCUUAUUUAAUCCAGCAUGUUAGGGAUUAUAUUUCACUUUUCCAGAUGGAGCACUUAAAGCUCAGAGAGAUUAAACAACCUCCCCAAAGUGUCACAGCUAUUAAAUGUGAGGCCAGACGUGAAAGCUAGGGUCCGCUGGGGCCAAAGCCCACUCCUGGGCUAACCCGUCUUGCAAGGGUGACAUCUCACACAGGGACGUCUCAUUCAGGCCUCAUCCUGAAUGAAGAAGCCAUGUGAGUGCGCGCCUUGACCAUAACAACCCACAUACCACACGCAAGAAAUAAGCCACUGUUGUUACAAGGCUACUGAGGUUUGUGUUGUUGCUGGGACACGGUGACCUUGACUCCUGGCCCAGUGAGAGAAGUCCUCCAACCACACGAACGAAGCGCUUAGAACACUGCCUGGCACACAAAGCAGGACUCAGUAGCGGUUCCCACGGCCGGUGCGCUCUGACUUUUGACACAGCUUCCCUGUUUGCCUCUGCUUGUCUUAAAACCCUCAUCUGCAGAUGCUCCAGAGUAUUUUGUUGUAGGCAGUCAUCUGGCUAAGCGUCAGAAAGUGUGGGUUCUGGUCCUAACUUGCUUUUCCUGGGGCUCUGUUUCCUCCCAGAUAAUUGUCAAGGUUCCUUGCAGUUCGGAGAAGUUUCUGAGUCUACAGACAAGGAGCUGCAGGAUCUCACACAACAAUAGACAAGGGUUGGCUUUGCCAGUUACAAAGCUGGGAGACACGAAAGAAAGAACUUGGUUUUUCAUCAAUCAACAAAACAAGCACUCUGUGGUUUGCCAGAAGAACAGGUGGCCUCCUAUCUUUUCCUGCCCACUCACGGGAGAUUUUCGGCUCCAGCUAAGGAAAGCUGGUCUCUGCCAUAUUCCUCCCAGCUCUACUGAAAUGUAUCCAGAUCCUCAGAGUCUUCGCCAGAGGUCUGUCAAACGGGGUGUGGGUACCGAAGCUGGUCUAUGGAUUGAUGUAUUAUUGGUUUCGAAAAUCGGAUCCUUUGCCCACCAUCUAGAAAGGUGGGUACCUGCUGUUCCCAGGCCACUGGCCUCAGCAGAGUUGACAGUCCAGCUUCUGUGCCCCCUUUCUCCCGAUUCCCAUCGCCAGCCUUCCCAGUCUAUCCCACUCUUGCUUGUGGGCAGCAUGGCUCGGAGAUUGGCUUUAGUAAACAGACAAUCUAGGUAAGACCACGUGCUGUAAGGUAAUUCCCUAGGAUCCCCCCUUAAAAACAUGUUGUCCCUCCCACACGGAGACUCUGUGAUUUACCAAAUCUUGGGAAAGCUGGUGGGCUUUCUAGACGCAGAAGGGCAUUUUAGAAGAAGAGCUCAUGAAGGUACCCUGCUCAGAGAGCCUGGUGCGGGAUGCCGCAGAUUAGCAUCCUCCAGCUGCCAGGGUUUGGGUCCCCUGCAGUGUUCACCCUGAGGCCGCACUCACCCACGGCGGCUCCCAGCCACAGCCGAGCACAGUGGGCAACGCGGGCUGGGCCAGUCCCGUCUCAAGGGGGACUUCCUCGCGUGGGCCCUUUUGGCUUGGGGACUCUCCAUCAGGAUGACCAGAAGUUUCUCAGAACUGUGCCUGGUCUGAAACGCUUCCUACUCCCCCUUCCUUCCUUCCCUCUUUGCGUUCAAAGGUCUCAGACCCACAUCCCGGGCUGAAGGCUGGCCCUGCUCCUUGCCACUUCGCUCAGCCUUCGCAAGCACGUCCCUCAGCAAACCCCCAGCCCAUUUAGUUCCUCCUGGAACCUGCUUCUAGGAGAAGCAGGGCAGGACACUUUCCCAGGGGCGCCUGCCUGGCCCACUGGGCUGGUCAGUGUUCUCCAGAGACACAGAAACAGCAGGAGCCUUAUAUUUACCACGGGGAAUUAGCUCACACGGUUGCAGGGUCCGAAACGCCCUGAGACAUGCACUGGAGACCCAGGAGAGCCAACGUGUGGUUCCAUUUGGCAUCUGAGGGCCUGCUGGUGUGCGUUCCAGUCUGCAAGCUGUAAGCGUGAGAGCUACGAAGAGCUGAUGGUUUAGUCCAAGUCCGAAAGACGGCAAAGACCAAGGUUCAUCUUAUCUGGGAACAGCCCCCGAGGAGACACACCCAGAACAACGUUCGGCCACAUAUCCGUGCCCUCCAAGGCCCAGUCAAGGUGACACCUAAAACUAACUACCCCUCCGUGCAGUCCAACAGCUAGUCGGUUAAAUCACUUUUGCUAAGGUCAGGAAUACAAGUCAAGUUCUCUUAGCAUGAGAUGCAUUUUUUUUUUUUAAUUAUUUUUUAACCAUCCUGUGGCAAAUGGAAUUCCCACAGGGAUCAGAUCUGAGCUGCAGCUGGAGCUUCUGGAAUAAGUUUUCAAGUCAACUUUCUCACUUGCGUUGACCCUUCGCCACACGAGGUCGUGGGGCAGGUUUUCGAUUCUAAAAAAAUUCCUCUCAAAGUGGUGCUCUGGAGACACUUGAGAAAAUGAAGAUAGACUUGGCAAAGACGCCCACAGGAAGAUAAUUAAGAGAGAUUUUCAAAGCCUGGGGGAAAUCAAAGACCCUUAUAUAUGUAUGGUUGGCACGAAACCAUUUUUAUGACAAUUCGUGCUCCGUGCAGCUGUGCAGCGCUGAGAGGUAAGAACACACAGCUCGUGGGAAAACAAAGGCCACGUGGGUCUAACCUUCUAGCGGCCUCCGGAGCCACACAUACGUUUCACAGCGGGUUCUGAGGCAUUACGAAAACCAAAAUAGGAAAUUUUCUUGCAGUUCUAAGAAGGAAAUGAUUACGUAGCAAUUGGGAAAACAAGUUAAAAAUUUCCCUUUCCCUCUGCCCCCUCCUGACUGAAUUCCUUACUCUCAAAAGGGAUGUGGUGAGAGGACUGAGUCCGUGUGAUGUGUCCUCUCAAGUCGUGGGGGGGUCAGCGGAGGUCUGGGCUUUGGCGCCAGGCAGGCCUAGAAAGGCAGUUUCGUUCUGCCACCUAAGAGCUGUGUGAUCUCAGGCAAGGUACGCAGUCUCUCGGGGCGCCACUUGCCUUGUCUGUAAAACAGCUGCUACUCGAUAGCGCGGCUGUGGCGGUCGCAGGAGAGGAGGGUGGAGGGUGGUGCCCGGCACCUGACAGGCGUCAGGAACGAUGGCUCAUCCUCUUGGGAAGGAAGGCACGCGAGGACCCCGAGAGAGCGCUGAUCGCUCAGCAACAUCUCAUCAAAAAGACUCUGUCAGAGCAGUGAUCCCAAAAGCAAAAGUCUUGGGAAAAGCUCCAGGGGGGUCUGAGCGGUGAUGUGUGGGGCACUGCGGCAAACUAGAGGGCCUGUGCCCACUGAAAGGGGGUGGCUGGAGAGCCCACGCCGCAUUUGGAAGGGGGAACGAUUUCUGCUCGAUGUCUGACUACUGGAGAACCUGAGCCCCAUCUGAAGGGGGCAGUUGCUACCUCAGUCCUACCUCAGGGUCGUGUAGACCCAUUAUUGAUAGACUUUUUUUUUUUCAUUUCUACGUGAAAUUUCCAGUUCACAUACAAGAGCUCCUAGGUCAAUUCAUUAACACACACACACACACACACACACACAGGGAGUUCCCAUUAUGGCUCAGUGGGUUAAGAACCCAACGUAGUCUCUGUGAGAAUGUGGGUUCCAUCCCUGGCCUGGUUCAGUGGGUUAAGGAUCUAGCAUUGCCAGGGCUGUGGCACAGGUCUCGGCGGCAGCUUUGAGUCAACCCCUAGCAGGAACUUCCAUAUGCUGCAGGUGCAGCCUCAAGAAACAACAAAACAGAAACAAAAAUAGAAAAAAAAAACAACACAACACCACACAUAGGCCCCACAAAGCACGUCUGAAGGCUGGAUGUGGCCUGUGGGCCACCAGUGAGCAAGUUCUAUGGGAGAAGAACAUUCCAUGACUGCGUUCUCACUCCUUGUACAGUAAAAUAUUUUCUUUUUUUUUUUUUUUUUUAAAUAAUUCUUCAAAUAAUUCCACACAGGGCAAAGAGUCCAACAUACAAACAAAUCGUCUCCUGCGUGUACUUCUCUAUCUGGGACACCAAGGGCCAAAAAUAACCUAAAAAAACCCAUGAAGGAUUGUGUUAUUAUUUACUCCUCAGGGUUUAGCCGCUUGCUGGUGGGCUGACUGUUCAAAGCCUGCGCGUGGGUGAAGCGGAGAUGAUGCCUGCUGAUGAAGCUAUUUUCUAGGUAUGUCCUUAAAGUGUAUCAUCCCUGACCCCACAUUUUCCAUGGCUUCAUCGAGGAGUCUAAGCAUUGACAGAGUCCACAAAAGUCUUGCCUUCAGAUCUCAAAAGCGAGGCCAGAAAGAGUGGGGAAGAAAUGACCAUGUUUGUUCAAAUCUUUCUGUCCACCCCCAGGUGAGCUUCACAAUGACAAAGAAUGUUCCCAAGAGGUGGCGUUGAUUGGAAACCAUCCGUGGCUAAAAAGUCUUAAGCCGCCAGUGUCUUAAUGAACGGGUUCUGCUCCAUUUCUGAGCUUACAGCAGAGGGCAAACAAGGAAUCGCAUUUCAAUGUCAAAGUCACGGUCAACAGGAAGCUCCAUAUUUGAUUCACAGUCUCCUCCACUCACACACCUUAAAGGGGCAACCUUAGCUUUAGAGCCUCUGUAGAACCCAGCAGGUUUCUGGAGCAGGCGACCAUCCUGGUACCUCUGUGUCGCUUAUCCUCGGAAGCCAUCACCUGGGAGGGCAAAGGACCCUGACACCCACUUCGAUAGACAACAGGCACGUUAAAAUGGGGUUACCUCCGUUAGAGCCCGAGAGAGAAACCUCAGGCCAGGAGAACUACAGGGCGUCUUUCAGGAACAGGCUUUGUUCCCUUAAUAGGUACAAGCAUUUGUUCAGAACCGGCUGAGGGAAACUGAAUUAGACACGUGUCUUCCCGAGGUAUCUAUGUGUGCUGCAGACAUGUCUUCACCCAAGAGUCGCUCAGUCUGUAACUCUCCCAGUUGUGUGGGGCUCACGCUGGAUCUGAGGUCCUCCUGAUUCUGGCAACCCUGCUUCGUGACGUGCAACACAACCAGUUAAUUCCGUGUUGCCCCGCUUCUUUCUCCGUGUUUUCCAGCACUGCAGUGAAAACACAUUCCCUAAGGAGAACGGGGCCUGAGGACGCUCAUGCCCCUUCCCACCCUAUAGAGUCUGGGGUCUCCUCCUCGGAAGGUUAGAUUAGGCAACGGCAACAUGGGUCCACGGAAAAGGACAGCAUUAUUCUCCCAAAUGAUGCUUCACGGAUCUGCUAUAAAAGAUUAAGGGAUUCUCUCGUGUUAUUGGGAAAAAGCUCAUUUUGGAAGUUACAAAAUUCAGAACCUAGGACCACAAUAAUACAAAGGUAGUUUUGGUAAAGUAUCUUGAGAUCUUUGAGAAGCAGGCAUUAGUCAAUAAGAAAACGGUGGCAUAUUGAAUAGAAUUUCGAUUUGGAAAACUAAUCUUCCGUUACCUCUCUUGGUUCCCACAUGUUUUUUUUUUCUUCCCUCUGACUCCCUAUCUUUAAUACUGUAAUGACCCUCAUAAUAGAAAAUACUUUGCUUCAGAAAUGUACACGUUUGAAUGUUGAGUAUAUUUUGAUUACAAUACUGAACACGCCUUAGCUUGAGAAAGGCUUUUUGGAAAAGAUGGGAAAAUUGUAACCUGACCUUUCGGCCGCCACGUCCCUAGGAUUAUGAUGUCCCCAGGACGUCUCGUCAUCUCAGUGGGUCAACACUGCGUGGACCCGAAUGGCAGAGCUCCGAGGGAAGGGGCGACGAUGACUUGGGCACCUGAGGAUGCUGGAGCUGUGCGUUCCCUUGCGAGGGC